AAGACUAUAGACCUGCGGAGUACCUGCGGAAGGAUCAUUAUUGAAUUAUGUUUCUAAAUGGGUUGUAGCUGGCUCGUCAGAGCAUGUGCACGCCUGUUUGGACUUCAUUUUCAUCCACCUGUGCACCUAUUGUAGUCUUUGGUUGGGUAUCAAGGAAGUGGUCAGCCUAUCAGCACUUGCUGGAUGUGAGGACUUGCAGUGUGAAAGCUUUGCCGUCCUUUACUUGAUCAUGGAGUUGUU
rnacentral:misc_RNA from 1 species